GCCUGGCUGGCUCAGCUGGAAGAGCAUGCGACUCUUUAUCUCAGGGUCAUGAGUUCGAGCCCCAUGUUGGGUG
rfam:Ailuropoda melanoleuca scaffold609_47, whole genome shotgun sequence.